UUCGGGUAAUUGAGAGUGGCGAACGGGUGCGUAACGCGUAUGCAACCUACCCUAUACAGGAGGAUAGCCCGGAGAAAUCUGGAUUAAUACCCCAUAGUAUCAUUGAGCUGCAUGGUUUAAUGAUUAAAGAUUCAUCGGUAUAGGAUGGGCAUGCGUCUGAUUAGCUAGUUGGCGGUGUAACGGACCACCAAGGCUACGAUCAGUAGGGGUUCUGAGAGGAAGGUCCCCCACACUGGCACUGAGAUACGGGCCAGACUCCUACGGGAGGCAGCAGUAGGGAAUAUUGGGCAAUGGACGAGAGUCUGACCCAGCCAUGCCGCGUGCAGGAAGACGGCGUUCUGCGUUGUAAACUGCUUUUAUCUGGGAAGAAAAUGCCCUUGCGAGGGAAAUUGCCGGUACCAGAUGAAUAAGCACCGGCUAACUCCGUGCCAGCAGCCGCGGUAAUACGGAGGGUGCAAGCGUUGUCCGGAUUUAUUGGGUUUAAAGGGUGCGUAGGCGGCUAUUUAAGUCAGUGGUGAAAGACUCCGGCUCAACCGGAGCAGUGCCAUUGAUACUGGAUAGCUUGAGUAUUGGAGGGGUACAUGGAAUUGAUGGUGUAGCGGUGAAAUGCAUAGAUACCAUCAGGAACACCGAUAGCGAAGGCAUUGUACUGGCCAAUAACUGACGCUGAUGCACGAAAGCAUGUGUAGCGAACAGGAUUAGAUACCCUGGUAGUCCAUGCCGUAGACGAUGAUUACUCGCUGUUAUGGCUUUAUGUUGUAGCGGCCCACCGAAAGCGUUAAGUAAUCCACC
rnacentral:rRNA from 1 species